AUUGAACGCUGGCGGCAGGCCUAACACAUGCAAGUCGAGCGGAUGAGAGGAGCUUGCUCUUUGAUUUAGCGGCGGACGGGUGAGUAAUGCCUAGGAAUCUGCCUGGUAGUGGGGGACAACGUUUCGAAAGGAACGCUAAUACCGCAUACGUCCUACGGGAGAAAGUGGGGGAUCUUCGGACCUCACGCUAUCAGAUGAGCCUAGGUCGGAUUAGCUAGUUGGUGAGGUAAUGGCUCACCAAGGCGACGAUCCGUAACUGGUCUGAGAGGAUGAUCAGUCACACUGGAACUGAGACACGGUCCAGACUCCUACGGGAGGCAGCAGUGGGGAAUAUUGGACAAUGGGCGCAAGCCUGAUCCAGCCAUGCCGCGUGUGUGAAGAAGGUCUUCGGAUUGUAAAGCACUUUAAGUUGGGAGGAAGGUCAGUAGCUUAAUACGUUGCCGAUUUGACGUUACCGACAGAAUAAGCACCGGCUAACUCUGUGCCAGCAGCCGCCGUAAUAC
rnacentral:rRNA from 1 species